rnacentral:rRNA from 1 species
UACAGAGGUGGCAAGCGUUGUUCGGAAUUACUGGGCGUAAAGGGCGCGUAGGCGGCCUUGUAAGUCCUGUGUUAAAUCCCCCGGCUCAACUGGGGAACUGCACAGGAGACUGCUUGGCUUGAGUUCGGGAGAGGGAAGCGGAAUUCCGGGUGUAGCGGUGAAAUGCGUAGAUAUCCGGAGGAACACCGGUGGCGAAGGCGGCUUCCUGGACCGACACUGACGCUGAGGCGCGAAAGCCAGGGGAGCAAACAGG